GUAUCUUCGGAUAUAUAUGGUAAAAUUGGAACGAUACAGAGAAGAUUAGCACGACCCCUGCACAAGGAUGACAAGCAAAAUCGUGAGGCGUUCCGUAUUUCU
rnacentral:snRNA from 1 species